rnacentral:rRNA from 1 species
CGCGUGGGAACAUACCCUUUUCUACGGAAUAGCCUCUGGAAACGGAGAGUAAUACCGUAUACGCCCUUCGGGGGAAAGAUUUAUCGGUUAAGGAUUGGCCCGCGUUAGAUUAGAUAGUUGGUGGGGUAAUGGCCUACCAAGUCUACGAUCUAUAGCUGGUUUGAGAGGAUGAUCAGCAACACUGGGACUGAGACACGGCCCAGACUCCUACGGGAGGCAGCAGUGGGGAAUCUUAGACAAUGGGCGCAAGCCUGAUCUAGCGAUGCCGCGUGAGUGACGAAGGCCUUAGGGUCGUAAAGCUCUUUCACCAGGGAUGAUAAUGACAGUACCUGGAAAAGAAACCCCGGCUAACUCCGUGCCAGCAGCCGCGGUAAUACGGAGGGGGUUAGCGUUGUUCGGAAUUACUGGGCGUAAAGCGCACGUAGGCGGAUUAGUAAGUUAGAGGUGAAA